GCAACUAUUGGGUGAUCAUCUGGAAGAAUUGGGUCUGGGCGGCCAAUAACUGCUGCAUGGUGGCAGCAUUCCCUUCUGCAUCGGCAUUGUUAGCCUCAGCGUUGUUGACGGGGUUCCGGCGUCUCGGAGGCAUCUGUUUAGGGUAGCAUAGAUGAGGAAACAGAUAGAAUAGAGCUAAGGAUAACUAAACCCCCAAACAAGAUAUAACUCAAGCAUAUAUCAAUCAUACACUCAUCAAUCAAAAAGGUUUUGAAAAAUCAUAGCAAAACACACUUAUUUAUGGUGGGACAUUGCCCAUAAAGAAAAGAGUACGUGGAGAAAGCAAUCGACCUACAUUGACAUGCACAUAGAUUGUAUGGUCAAUGACUAACUCGCAAUACUGAUAAUGAAAAUAAAAAAAAUAAGUCUGGUAGGCAUCAACAGAUCUAAGGGAGUGUGGCUGUCGGUGUGGUCCCGUUCGCCUUCAUCUUGGAGCGGGUGUUGGUGGCAGGGGUGUCCAUCUCGUGGACCUCCUGGGGCUCCUCCUCCUCAGUCGGUUCCUCCUCCUGAGGC
rnacentral:lncRNA from 1 species